rnacentral:rRNA from 1 species
GACGAACGCUGGCGGCGUGCCUAAUACAUGCAAGUCGAGCGGAUGAAAGAGGAGCUUGCUCCUCUAGAUUCAGCGGCGGACGGGUGAGUAACACGUGGGCAACCUGCCCUGUAGAUUGGGAUAACUCCGGGAAACCGGGGCUAAUACCGAAUAAUCCUUCGGACCUCAUGGUCCGAUGUUGAAAGACGGUUUCGGCUGUCACUACAGGAUCGGGCCGCGGCGCAUUAGCUAGUUGGUGAGGUAACGGCUCACCAAGGCCACGAUGCGUAGCCGACCUGAGAGGGUGAUCGGCCACACUGGGACUGAGACACGGCCCAGACUCCUACGGGAGGCAGCAGUAGGGAAUCUUCCACAAUGGACGAAAGUCUGAUGGAGCAACGCCGCGUGAGUGAAGAAGGUUCUCGGAUCGUAAAACUCUGUUGUGAGGGAAGAACAAGUACCGGAGUAACUGCCGGUGCCUUGACGGUACCUCAUUAGAAAGCCACGGCUAACUACGUGCCAGCCGCCGCGGUAA